rnacentral:rasiRNA from 1 species
CAUAGAUCGAGGAACAUUCAGGUGC